UCUACGGGAGGCAGCAGUGGGGAAUAUUGCACAAUGGGCGCAAGCCUGAUGCAGCCAUGCCGCGUGUAUGAAGAAGGCCUUCGGGUUGUAAAGUACUUUCAGCGAGGAGGAAGGCGUUGUGGUUAAUAACCGCAGCGAUUGACGUUACUCGCAGAAGAAGCACCGGCUAACUCCGUGCCAGCAGCCGCGGUAAUA
rnacentral:rRNA from 1 species